rfam:Oryza glaberrima chromosome 11 Oglab11_0282_5, whole genome shotgun sequence.
UUUAAGUGCAACCAUAAGUUUCCGCGCCCAACUUUGAUCGUCCAUCUUAUUUAAUUUUUUUUUAUAAUUAGUAUUUUUGUUGUUAUGAGAUGAUAAAAUAUUAAUAAUACUUUACUCGUAAACUAUGUUUUUAAUUUCUUUCAAAAAAAUUUCAAAUAAGACGGACGGUCAAAGUUAGACGCGAAAAACCAUGAUUACACUUAAA